GAGUUUGAUUCCUGGCUCAGGAUGAACGCUAGCGGCAGGCCUAACACAUGCAAGUCGAGGGGGAGGUUACUUUCGGGUAACUGAGACCGGCGUACGGGUGCGUAACGCGUAUACAAUCUGCCUUUCACUGGGGGAUAGCCCGAAGAAAUUUGGAUUAAUACCCCAUAGUAUAGCAAUACGGCAUCGUGAUACUAUUAAAGCUUAGGUGGUGAAAGAUGAGUAUGCGUUCUAUUAGCUAGUUGGAGAGGUAACGGCUCCCCAAGGCGAUGAUAGAUAGGGGUUCUGAGAGGGAUGUCCCCCACACUGGUACUGAGAUACGGACCAGACUCCUACGGGAGGCAGCAGUGAGGAAUAUUGGACAAUGGUCGGAAGACUGAUCCAGCCAUGCCGCGUGCAGGAUGACGGCCUUAUGGGUUGUAAACUGCUUUUGUAAGGGAAGAAUAAGGACUACGUGUAGUUUGAUGACGGUACCUUAUGAAUAAGCAUCGGCUAACUCCGUGCCAGCAGCCGCGGUAAUACGGAGGAUGCGAGCGUUAUCCGGAAUCAUUGGGUUUAAAGGGUCUGUAGGCGGGCUUGUAAGUCAGAGGUGAAAGCGCUUAGCUCAACUAAGCAACUGCCUUUGAAACUGUUGGUCUUGAAUGGUUGUGAAGUAGUUGGAAUGUGUAGUGUAGCGGUGAAAUGCUUAGAUAUUACACAGAACACCGAUAGCGAAGGCAUAUUACUAACAAUUAAUUGACGCUGAUGGACGAAAGCGUGGGGAGCGAACAGGAUUAGAUACCCUGGUAGUCCACGCUGUAAACGAUGGAUACUAGCUGUUUGGUUUAAGGAUUGAGUGGCUAAGCGAAAAGUGAUAAGUAUCCCACCUGGGGAGUACGUUCGCAAGAAUGAACUCAAAAGGAAAUUGACGGGGGCCCGCACAAGCGGUGGAGCAUGUGGUUUAAUUCGAUGAUACGCGAGGAAACCUUACCAAGGUUUAAAAUGGAGACUGACAGGGGUAGAGAUACCUUUUUUUUCGGACAGUUUUCAAGGUGCUGCAUGGUUGUCGUCAGCUCGUGCCGUGAGGUGUCAGGUUAAAGUCCUAUAACGAGCGCAAACCCCUGCCAUUAGUUGCUAACGAGUCGAGUCGAGCCCUCUAAUGGGACUGCCGGUGCAAAACCGUGAGGAAAGGUGGGGAUGACGUCAAAUUCAGCGACGGCCCUUACGUCCGGGGCUACACACGUGUUACGAAUGGCGCAUACAGAGAGUAGGUGGCAUGCGAGUGCCGUUCCAACCCUUAAAGUGCGUCUCAGUUCGGAACUGGGGUCUGCACCCGACCCCGCGGAAGCUGGUUCGGCGAGUGAUUCGGCGCUCGGGCCGUGGCGCGGUGAGUCGGCUCCCGGCCC
rnacentral:rRNA from 1 species